UACGUAGGUGGCGAGCGUUGUCCGGAAUUACUGGGUGUAAAGGGCGUGUAGGCGGGAAAUUAAGUCAGAUGUGAAAUUCCAGGGCUCAACCCUGGCGCUGCAUCUGAAACUAGUUUUCUUGAGUGCUGGAGAGGAAAGCGGAAUUCCUAGUGUAGCGGUGAAAUGCGUAGAUAUUAGGAGGAACACCAGUGGCGAAGGCGGCUUUCUGGACAGUAACUGACGCUGAGGCGCGAAAGCGUGGGGAGCAAACAGG
rnacentral:rRNA from 1 species